AUCGCACAUUCUCGGCCCUUUCCGUCAAACAUCGGAUAAGUACCUCGAAGGAGAUAGUAUGAAUACACAUUUCGGAAGCGGUAUUGCGGUCUACCUACGCGGGCCUACGCGAAUCAAAAUUAUAUAGUAAAAACAAACAUGGCCGGUUUUGCGAGUUGUUUACAUUUUGCAAAGAUGAAAAUGGGGAUUUUCUAUGCUCUGAAGCCAGAGCAAGUACAAACUCUACAGGAAUUAUGGACGCCGUCGUUGUUAUUGUUUUUGUUGUUGUAACAUUCUUAGAAUGGUAUCACGUGGGCGGACUACUUUCAACCCGUAUUUCUCCCGAGUCCGAUUAUGAUAAUCUGCGAGGGGUACCGAAUGUCUGUCAUGUACACUAAAUAAGCGUCUUGAUGAUCUUGAACCUUGUUUUGAUGGCAAGUAUACCAAUUAACACUUUGUAAUGUCAGAUGUAAUCAACAUGGGAACAUUAGAUAUGGUGACUUUUCUUGCGGUAUAUAAUACAGCGUAUCACGGCAUUGUCUCCAUAAAAAUGAAGCGAAAGGCAACAACACUGGAUCGAAUUUUUGGUCUAUCCAACAAACCAAAAAACACAGAAUCUGAUUCUGAGCCAAAGUUGUCGAGUCUAAGAACUCGUCAUGAAGAUGACUGUUAGAGUCCACCUACCAGCUCAGUGUGGUUAAAUUUAGCUGCCAGCUCCCUACCAUUUGGAGCCACAGUGUAUUUGUUUCUUGUUUUACUCUUGAAUGUCAAUUACAAUUUUAAAUAAAAAUUAAACAUCUUUAA